rnacentral:rRNA from 1 species
AUUGAACGCUGGCGGAAUGCUUUACACAUGCAAGUCGAACGGCAGCACGGACUUCGGUCUGGUGGCGAGUGGCGAACGGGUGAGUAAAGUAUCGGAACGUGCCCAGUCGUGGGGGAUAACGUAGUGAAAAUUACGCUAAUACCGCAUACGAUCUAUGGAUGAAAGCGGGGGAUCGCAAGACCUCGCGCGAUUGGAUCGGCCGAUAUCAGAUUAGGUAGUGGGUGGGGUAAAGGCCCACCAAGCCAACGAUCUGUAGCUGGUCUGAGAGGACGACCAGCCACACUGGAACUGAGACACGGUCCAGACUCCUACGGGAGGCAGCAGUGGGGAAUUUUGGACAAUGGGCGAAAGCCUGAUCCAGCCAUUCCGCGUGCAGGAUGAAGGCCCUCGGGUUGUAAACUGCUUUUGUACAGAACGAAAAGGUUUCUACUAAUACUAGGAGCUCAUGACGGUACUGUAAGAAUAAGCACCGGCUAACUACGUGCCAGCAGCCGCCGUAA